UACGUAGGGUGCAAGCGUUGUCCGGAAUUAUUGGGCGUAAAGAGCUCGUAGGCGGUGUGUCGCGUCUGCUGUGAAAACCCGAGGCUCAACCUCGGGCCUGCAGUGGGUACGGGCAGACUAGAGUGCGGUAGGGGAGAUUGGAAUCCUGGUGUAGCGGUGGAAUGCGCAGAUAUCAGGAGGAACACCGGUGGCGAAGGCGGGGCCUGGGCCAGUACUGGACGCUGAGGAGCGAAAGCGUGGGGAGCAAACAGGG
rnacentral:rRNA from 1 species